rnacentral:rRNA from 1 species
GGCUUUUGACGGGUAGCUGGUCUGAGAGGACGAUCAGCAACACUGGGACUGAGACACUGCCCAGACUCCUACGGGAGGCUGCAGUCGAGAAUCUUUAGCAAUGGGCGCAAGCCUGACUAUGCGACGCCGCGUGCAGGAUGAAGGCUUUCGGGUUGUAAACUGCUUUUGUCAGGAAAGAAAGCUCUGUAUCAUAACAUGGUACAGGGUUGACGGUACCUGACGAAUAAGCCACGGCCAACUCCGUGCCAGCAGCCGCGGUAAUACGGAGGUGGCGAGCGUUACUCGGAAUCAUUGGGUGUAAAGGGCAAGUAGGCGGCCUAUUAAGUGAGGGGUGAAAUCUUCCGACUCAAUCGGAAAACUGCCUUUCAAACUGAUGGGCUUGAGGUCAGAAGAGGGAAACGGAAUUAGCAGUGUAAGGGUGAAAUCUGUAGAUAUUGCUAAGAACACCGGCGGCGAAGGCGGUUUCCUGGUCUAGACCUGACGCUAAAUUGCGAAAGCUAGGGGAGCAAACAGAAUUAGAUACUCU